AUCAUAUGAACCAAACUCUAAU
rnacentral:miRNA from 1 species